rnacentral:rRNA from 1 species
AGAUUGAACGCUGGCGGCGUGCCUAACACAUGCAAGUCGAGCGGUAACAGGUGUAGCAAUACAUGCUGACGAGCGGCGAACGGGUGAGUAAUGCUUUGGAAUCUUCCCAGUAGUGGGGAAUAACCAGUCGAAAGAUUGGCUAAUACCGCAUACGUCUGUAAAGGGAAAGCGGGGGCUCGUAAGACCUCGCGCUAUUGGAUGAGCCAAAGUCGGAUUAGCUAGUUGGUGGGUAACGGCCUACCAAGGCGACAAUCCGUAGCUGGUCUGAGAGGACGACCAGCCACACCGGAACUGAGACACGGUCCGGACUCCUACGGGAGGCAGCAGUGGGGGAAUAUUGGACAAUGGGGGAAACCCUGAUCCAGCGACGCCGCGUGUGUGAAGAAGGCCUGCGGGUUGUAAAGCACUUUUAGUGGGGACAAAAGCUACGGAUUAAUACUCUGUGGUCUUGAUUUAACCCAAAGAAAAGCACCGGCUAACUCUGUGCCAGCAGCCGCGGU